rnacentral:rRNA from 1 species
UUGCUGCAGUUAAAAAGCUCGUAGUUGAAAUUCUGCUCCGGCAGACAAGUAUCCUUCAGGAUUCGUGUCACCGGGCAUCAGUCUGCAAUCUUUUUCACGGCAUUCACUUGUCGGGCUAGGGAGCAGACGUUUUACCUUGAGAAAAUUAGAGUGUUCCAGGCAGGCUUCAGCCCGAAUACAUUAGCAUGGAAUAAUAGAAUAGGACUAGAGACUAUUUAUUGGUUUGAGGCUCUAGUAAUGAUUAAUAGGAACAGUCGGGGGCAUUAGUACUUAACAGUCAGAGGUGAAAUUCUAGGAUUUGUUAAAGACUAACUAAUGCGAAAGCAUUUGCCAAGCAUGUUUUCAUUAAUCAAGAACGAAAGUUAGGGGAUCAAAGACGAUUAGAUACCGUCGUAGUCUUAACUAUAAACUAUACCGACUCGGAAUUGGGCAAUUUAUUAUAGAUUGCUCAGCGCCGUAAGAGAAAUCAAAGUCUUUGGGUUCUUGGUGGAGUACGAUCGCAAGAUUGAAACUUAAAGGAAUUGACGGUUUUGCACCACCAUGGAGUGGAGCCUGCGGCUUAGUUUGACUCAACACGGGAAAACUUAUCAGGGUAAAAAGGUAUUGGGAUUGACAGAUUGAGAGUUCUUUC